UACGUAGGGGGCAAGCGUUGUCCGGAUUUAUUGGGCGUAAAGAGCGUGUAGGCGGCCAUGCAGGUCAGCUGUGAAAACUCGAGGCUCAACCUCGAGACGUCGGUUGAAACCGUAUGGCUAGAGUCCGGAAGAGGAGAGUGGAAUUCCCGGUGUGGCGGUGAAAUGCGCAGAUAUCGGGAAGAACACCUAUGGCGAAGGCAGCUCUCUGGGACGGUACUGACGCUGAGACGCGAAAGCGUGGGGAGCAAACAGG
rnacentral:rRNA from 1 species